AGGCAGCCUCUUUGUAAUGUAAAAUGGCAAAUGAGGUGUUAAACUGCUCGUAAAUCAAUUUGCUUAUGCUCUUCAGAUUUGCUGAGAUUCGUCCUUGAAGCUGGUCUAGUAGGCAUAAGUACAUC